rnacentral:rRNA from 1 species
AUUGAACGCUGGCGGCAGGCCUAACACAUGCAAGUCGAGCGGAUGAGCGGAGCUUGCUCCUUGAUUUAGCGGCGGACGGGUGAGUAAUGCCUAGGAAUCUGCCUGGUAGUGGGGGAUAACGUUCCGAAAGGAACGCUAAUACCGCAUACGUCCUACGGGAGAAAGCAGGGGACCUUCGGGCCUUGCGCUAUCAGAUGAGCCUAGGUCGGAUUAGCUAGUUGGUGAGGUAAUGGCUCACCAAGGCGACGAUCCGUAACUGGUCUGAGAGGAUGAUCAGUCACACUGGAACUGAGACACGGCCCAGACUCCUACGGGAGGCAGCAGUGGGGAAUAUUGGACAAUGGGCGAAAGCCUGAUCCAGCCAUGCCGCGUGUGUGAAGAAGGUCUUCGGAUUGUAAAGCACUUUAAGUUGGGAGGAAGGGCAGUAAGCUAAUACCUUGCUGUUUUGACGUUACCGACAGAAUAAGCACCGGCUAACUUCGUG